UGGUAGGCGGUGAUCUUAGGCAAAUCCGGGAUCACUACGCCGAGCACCGAGACGAGUCCUAUGAGGACGAAGUGACUGACACCACGCUUCCAGGAAAAGCCACUAAGCUUCAGCUUAAGAAAAACCGUACCGCAAACCGACACAGGUAGGCAGGGUGAGAAUCCCAAGGCGCUUGAGAGAACUCGGGUGAAGGAACUAGGCAAAAUGGCACCGUAACUUCGGGAGAAGGUGCGCCCUUUGGUGUGGUCACGUGCGUGACUGAGCAUCGAAGGGUCGCAGUAACCUGGCCGCUGCGACUGUUUAUCAAAAACACAGCACUCUGCAGACACGAAAGUGGACGUAUAGGGUGUGACGCCUGCCCGGUGCUGGAAGGUUAAUUGAUGGGGUCAGCCGCAAGGCGAAGCUCUUGAUCGAAGCCCCAGUAAACGGCGGCCGUAACGAUAACGGUCCUAAGGUAGCGAAAUUCCUUGUCGGGUAAGUUCCGACCUGCACGAAUGGCGUAACGACAGCGGCGCUGUCUCCACCCGAGACUCAGUGAAAUUGAAAUCGCUGUGAAGAUGCAGCGUUCCCGCGGCAAGACGGAAAGACCCCGUGAACCUUUACUAUAGCUUUACACUGAACGUUGAGUUCUUCUGUGUAGGAUAGGUGGGAGGCUAUGAAACCAGGACGCUAGUUCUGGUGGAGCCAUCCUUGAAAUACCACCCUGAAGUGCUUGACGUUCUAACCUAGGCCCGUAAUCCGGGUCAGGGACCGUGUAUGGUGGGUAGUUUGACUGGGGCGGUCUCCUCCCAAAGAGUAACGGAGGAGCACGAAGGUACGCUCAGCGCGGUUGGACAUCGCGCACUGUGUGCAAAGGCAUAAGCGUGCUUGACUGCGAGAUCGACGGAUCAAGCAGGUACGAAAGUAGGUCUUAGUGAUCCGGUGGUUCUGUAUGGAAGGGCCAUCGCUCAACGGAUAAAAGGUACUCCGGGGAUAACAGGCUGAUACCGCCCAAGAGUUCAUAUCGACGGCGGUGUUUGGCACCUCGAUGUCGGCUCAUCACAUCCUGGGGCUGUAGCCGGUCCCAAGGGUAUGGCUGUUCGCCAUUUAAAGUGGUACGCGAGCUGGGUUCAGAACGUCGUGAGACAGUUCGGUCCCUAUCUGUCGUGGGCGUUGGAGAUUUGAGGGGGGCUGCUCCUAGUACGAGAGGACCGGGGUGGACGUUCCGCUGGUGUUCGGGUUGUCAUGCCCAUGGCAUUGCCCGGUAGCUACGAACGGAAGUGAUAACCGCUGAAAGCAUCUAAGCGGGAAGCACGCCCCAAGAUGAGAUCUCCCGAGAGCUUGACUCUCCUAAAGGCACCAUCAAGACUAGGUGGUUGAUAGGUCAGGUGUGGAAGCGCAGCAAUGCGUUGAGCUAACUGAUACUAAUGAGCCGUGAGGCUUGACC
rnacentral:rRNA from 1 species